rnacentral:lncRNA from 1 species
UCAUAUCGUAGUUGACUGUAGUUCAGUAACGUGUUUUAUAUUUCCUAGUUGUGCAUGACUCCUUUUAGCCGUCCAUAUAAGGGGAUCUAUCCAUUUUUGUACUUGGUAGUUGAGUGGCCACCUUAAAAGUUGAGAAACUGCAGUGUCCCCUCUCAACGACAAAAAGAAAGUAAAGAAAGAAAAAGGUGUGUUUGUUCCAUCCAGGGUCGAGAGGGACGGCGCAACGCCAACGCUAG